rnacentral:rRNA from 1 species
UACGUAGGGUGCGAGCGUUGUCCGGAAUUAUUGGGCGUAAAGCGCGCGCAGGCGGUCCUUUAAGUCUGAUGUGAAAGCCCACGGCUCAACCGUGGAGGGUCAUUGGAAACUGGGGGGACUUGAGUACAGAAGAGAAGAGUGGAAUUCCACGUGUAGCGGUGAAAUGCGUAGAGAUGUGGAGGAACGCCAGUGGCGAAGGCGACUCUUUGGUCUGUAACUGACGCUGAGGCGCGAAAGCGUGGGGAGCAAACAGG